CUAUUUGUCAGUACAUAAGGCAGUAAAAUAAAUAAUGAGCAACAGAAAAUAAAGCCAACCAUAAGAGAGUAAAAAGGGCUAAAUGUCUUUGUAAUAUACUAAUAUAGAAUGAUAAAUGGCAAAAGUAACAUCAACACAGUGCAGUUUUCUCUUUCAAAUUACUACCGCUGAAAGAACACAGUAAGUCUCUAGUAUACAAAGCUCACUUGAACUAGUAAUUUAAUUAUGAGAAAGAAAAAAAGGCAAGUUCAUGAAACCAAGCAUCAUAUUUAGAGUAACGGUGGAAGAUAUUUUAGGUUAAGGCUCAUUACGAUGCGUAUAUGGUUUUUGUAAUAAACCCUUCAGCACCAAAACAAAUAGCACAGUGAGACGAGUAUAUUCAAGCUCUCCUAGUUUUGAUUAAAAAGAUAUCUUUGUAAAGUAUCUAGAUUAGCAACAUGCCAAUAUCAAUCAUAUGAGUAGUUUCUCAUUCAAGAAAUGCCCUUCUAUUUGUCACCUAACGAAGCAAAAUCACCAAGAUAGACAGUAUUUCCGAACAGACAAACCAAUAUUUGGAGCUCUUGUCCAGAAUAAGCUAUUCAUGAUUCAAUCCGAUACAAUCCCAUAUUAGCCCAAAUUCACAUUAAUCAUUGAAAAAGCCAACUGUCAUAUAUAAUGUGACAGCCAUCUUGACUUCAACUACAGUGAAAGCAAAACAAAAACCAAUGUGGCAGAUACCCCGUGUAAACAUUCUUCUUUUACAAAAUUAUGUAAAAAGAAAAGGACUAUGUGAUGCUAGCAUCACUCCGAGGCAUUUAAAUAGCGCCCAUCAGGUACAGUUGAACAGCUCAUUCUCCCGACCGAAGAAACUAACUAAAAGUUUCAGGCCCCCAUAUUCCACAAAGACGGGUAGUGCGCCAACGAUCAGACCCCCCAUACCCAAAACACGUUUCAUCAAAACAGCUAAACAGCGUUCCGAUGCGCCUCUCACUACGGACCUUUUACAUCCCCUCUACACCGCUAAACUAGUUAGCCCCAAGGCGACCACACUGACAGAACGGGAAUGGAAAACCCUCUCUAACUCAGGCAUUCCCGCAAUCAUCGAUGACAGUAAAUAAGCUCUAGAACCACACGGGGGGCAGAGAGGGCCCUAACGGGUGUGGCACCCGGUGAACCCUAAGCUCAUCAGAGGCGGACCUCCCUCUCAUGGGGGCGGCGGGCAUGGCAAGCCAUGGCGGAUCUAACAUGGGGGCGUAGGGGGUUCAGUCGAACCCAAAUUUCUCUAGAACGCAAGCUAGGGUUAACACGAAUUCGAGCCCAAAAAAGAAGAACAAAAAAAACAAAGAGGACGUGCGAUGCUCACCGGGACGCGGCGGAGGCAACCCUGCUCGGUCGCGGGAUGGAUGGGGGAUCGGCGGCGGCGGCGGCGGCGGCGGCGGGCGAACUCGCGAGGAGUCGGAGUCGGAGUCGAGGGCGAGCGGAGGGGGGGAAAUAUCGCGGCUCGACGCAACCGCCCGCAGCACCCCCGCACGAUGAUUUCCGAUGAUUUGCACAAUUGCGCUUACACAGGAUACCUAAGAAAUAUGAGAAAAUGAUAUUGGCCUUUUGUCCUUUUACUUACUAUAUACUCCCUAAGAUUUUCUAGCAUUAUAUAUAUUAAUAAAUGUUAAUGAAUUUAGAUACAUAUAUAUAUAUAUAUAUAUAUAUAUAUAUAUAUAUAUAUAUAUAUAUAUAUAUAUAUAUAUAUAUAUUUUUAUUAUCAUUUAUAUGAAUAUGAGCAAUGCUAAAAAGUUUUACAUUCUGAAACGGAGGAAGUAGGUGAAAUCCCGCGCAUUGCUAUGGGAAUUUAGUAUAAUAACAAUAAAAAAAUAACGUGUAAGAUAGCUAGAUAACAUCAGAUUAAGUAAGUUAAUGUGGUUUAUGAUAAUUUAAAUUUAAAUAGCAUGUAGAAUGGUGAUUCAAACGUAAAAAGUAAGGUAUGACUUUAUGGAAGAAGAAAAUUAGAGAGAUAGUUUGGACCGUAGAUUAAUCAUCUAAAGGCUAAAAACAAUGUAAUAUGUCUUAAUUAGAGAAAGAUAAUUUGGACAAUAGAUUAAUUAUUUAAACAUUAAUUAAGUGAGGAUGAACUAUAUAAGUAUAUAGCAUAUCAUAAAACAUAAUAAAGAUAUACAUUGAAAUAUUAUGUGAAUUAUGUGGGAUGAUAAUUUAAUAUGCUUGUAUUUUAAAAGCUCUUAAACUAUAAAAACUAUAAAAUUAUAGAUAAUAUAGCAUGUUUGCAUGAUGUUUAAAUGUGAUGAUUGUUAGUGGAUGAUGAUGUGUCAUCUUUGCAUGUUAUAAGUUUAAGGAGUUAGUGGGUUAUAACUUAUAUAGUAAAAUAGGAUAUGCUGUGUUCAUUUAAACUAAAUAUUUUUUUUAUCAAAUAGAUAAUCAAUUGCUUUCCCUAGUUUCGAGCAUUGAAAACUUAUGUUCCAAUAUUUCAAAUUUAUAGUAUAAAUGUAUGGAAUUUAAAAUGUUUGAAUUUUUUUAUUGAAAAAUAUGGUUUAUAAAACCGUGUGGUUAUCACGUGCGGUAACAUUUUUAAUUUUUUUAAACCACGAUAUACCUCACGGUAACUACGUGGUUUUCGUGGUAACCGUCAAACCGUGGUAUAAUGGUAACCCCACCUCAAACGGUUUGGUAAACCUGGUCUCGAUAAAUAUUAGUUACCAUGUAAAUGGACGACCAUUGAAAAUAAUAACCGUUUCUCUAAUUGAUUCAGACCAAGAUGUUUAUCAGCUGAACGUUCUAUGCUUAAAGGAUUUUGAGUGAAGCUGAGAAAGAGAGGAGGUUACUCACUAACUACACAUAUAAGUGAAGAAAUUAUUCACAUUUGUUAUGUGAUAUGCUCCUAUUUAUCAAUAAUUUAAUAAUAUUAUUAAAAUAUUAUAAUUGUAAUAUAAAUUUGUUCUUUACCAUAGUGCAAGGUAAAACUAAAAAUUUGUCACAAAAUUCUUCUACUAUUCCACCUUCUUCUUGUUAUUCCAUUUUUUUCUCUAUUUUCGAUAAUAAUAUUGCUAGCUCUAACCAUUAGAUUUUGCAGCCGAACACUCCCGAAUCACGAUAGAUCCCAAAUCCAUGUUGCGCUGCCCCAUGAGUGGAUGCAGAUGAAAAAGGGAGGGUCCCAAGAGAAGGACGGAUGAAUACCUCCAAUUCGAUUUGAGCCGAGAUGCUCCACCGGCCAGAGCGGAGGGAAGAACGCCACAGGAAAUAGAAGGCGAGGUCUACGGGGUUAGGGAGGAGAGGAGUCCACCCCACGCCGUGCCCUCUUCGCCAGUGCUCACGCCGAUGUAAGGGUGAAGGCUUGGCGUCUCCAUAAAGAGAGAAGGGAGAGAUGGAGGAGAGUUAAGGUGAGGGUUUCCUCAGCGAAAACAGAAUAGGGAGUAGAGGUGAGGGGUGGUGUAUUUUGGUUAUCCAUUUUCUCUAUUUCUAAAAAUACUUUGAAACUAUAACAAAUGAAAGAAAUUUUUUUGUGAAGUUGUGUAUGGUUUAUUAAAAAUGAUUUUAUUCAUGCAACUUUAACCAUAUAUAUAUCAUGUAAAAAUAAUCGAUAUUUUUACGAAAACUAUAACUUUACCAAUAAUAAGCUCACCGUGAUAGGUCAAGCUCAUAUAUGGGUGGGCCAAUACGUCAAAACAUGUUACAAACUACUUUGUUUUUAGAUAACAAAAUAAGGCGCUAUUGUCACAUUUUUUGUGAAAAUGACCGACAAAAAUAAUACAACUCAAUAGCAUGGCAUCGAUAAAGGAGGCCUAGGAGGCUAGGACGCGUUCUAAACUGUGUUCCGGCUUGGCUACUUGCUCAAUUUUUGUUACACAUUUCUUAACCUGCAAAAUGUUACGUUACAUGUGGAAGCUUUGUGUACAAAAGUUGCUUUAAAAAAUCAAAUAAAUCUAUUUACAAGUUUUUAAUAACUAAUACUAAAGCAAUCAUAUGCUAAUUAUAUUUCAUUUUUAGCUUACGGCUAAUCAGUUGUUUCAAACCGCAGUUUAGAAUAGCUUUAAGCCUUGAUGAGCAUCAGUUUGGUACCAAAAAGUAGAGAGGGAUCGACAACAAGACAAAAACAGAGAAACAAUUGCCGUCGGGAAGAAGAGGAGAGAAAAGAAGAUGGGUAAUGCGGAGUGCUAUUUUCGUUGUUUUUAAUAUAUACAUGGAUGACGAAUGGAAAGAAAAACUUUUUAGGAUUAUGUUAAAUGAAAACCAGCUUUCUUGUUCUUUUUCUUAGAAAGUUAUUGGAUGUAGACACCACUUUCAAAUUCUUGGUGGAUAAUAUGGUGAUUAUGUUUAUUUUAUUAGUUAAGAUAAUAAUCACAAUACAUGUAGAUGUUUUUUUUGUGUGUUUUAUUGCACUCUAGUAAUUGAUAUAGGCUAUUCCUUUUGCCUCGAAUUACCGCCUUUGGUGCGACAUAUAAUGAACGCGGGAUAAUGGGAUAGUAAUUUUAUAUAGUUAAAAAUGUAUUGGUUUUGUUAUCAAUUUAAUAUAGUUUGUUGGCAAGGAAUAAAAGAAACGGAUCCUAAUAGUGGUGGUGGGAAGGGGAUGAGGUAGUUGUGCGGUCAGCAAAAGGAGUAAUACAGCGCGCCAAUCAACUCAUGUGUCCUAGUGAUAUGGGACCAAGGCACACGGAAAAGUGGGAGUGAGCCCUUUUCAUCGUUAAAGGUAAUUUCACUUGCAACCUUAAAGGUAAUUAUUUCAUACCAUGUAUGUUGAUGCGGGAAUAUGUUUGAAUAUAACAUAGGCAAAUUUAAUGCUUCCUUACUCGGCACGUUGAUUACUGUUAAUUACAGGCAUCGUCAAUCCAGUAAUAGAAACAAUUUUGAUGAGGUAGCUAAACGCAGUGGCUGCUCGUGGUUAUAAUUAUAUAUACAUCUAAUUUUUUAUUAGCAUAUGCAUAUAAAAUUGAACAUGUAACGCUAUCCAAAAUUGAUGUCAUUAGUGUCCUAUUGUUUGCUAGAUUAAGUAAUCUUUAUAAGGGUGGAGAAGAGAUUAAUGGUGUUAUUUUAAUUGGUGGGGAAGUGGAGGGUAUUUUUACCUAACAAGUAGUACCACAGAAACAAUUUUGAUGAGGUGGUUAAACGUGUGGCUCCUUGUGGUUGUAAUUAUAUAGAGAAAAGGACAUAAAAAAAUCCCCACCCAUUAAAGGAAGGAAGUAGAUUCCACUACAUUGUGGUUUGUACUUUGCAGGGAUUUUUUAAGAUAAUGGAAAUUAUCUUGAUGGAUAACGAGAAAACUAACUGAAACACUCUAAAGACAGAGAUAACACCAUCAUAAAAAAAUCAUACUGCUAAACAUAUUCCUCCUCAAACUUGAAAACAAAGUUGCCAAGAUCAACGCCCGAUCAUGGUGCUGGACGAAUAUUGUGCACAUCACCGCCAACAAUUUGAUGUUGAGCCAAAGCGAAAGGUAUCAUCGGAGAGUAAUUGAUUUGCAAAACAAUUGUGUAACCAAAUCUUGCCACUACCAUGGCUAUCGAAGUCGAUCGGACGAGGAAACCAGCGCUAAAGAUGACACAUCCUGCCAUUGUUCUUGUCGGUGUUGGCCGCACUCACGAAGGUCACAACCAAGACUAAGGAUGGCGACCACAAUGAGACAAUGGCUAGAACCUAGUCAUGCAACGCGAAGAACUGCUGAUGGACGUAGCACAACCACACCCGAAUCCUUAUCCCGACCUUGUACACCACCAACAACGGUCCAUCGUCGACCGCUGCUGAGGGCUCACUAGCGCUGAGGGACGACGACGAGAGGAGCCAAUCCACGAGAGCCUGAACGACGACACCACGAUGAGGUCUUCUCACCUCCACCGUAAGUAGGUUUGUCGUCGUUUGAUGGUGACAAUGAGAGAUAUGAUUGCCUUCUUGGUGGAUCACCAAUCCUUGUGAAAGCCUUAGAUCAUCGUGUAGAUCCCCUUGGGGUGAUUGUAUUUUGUAGGGCUAAUAUUGGUUCGUAGGACUAGUCACUGGUGGAGAAACCCUUUGUACUCCCGGUUCGUAACCCCCCUUUAGUCCCGGUUAUCCAACCGGGACUACGAAUCCGGGACUAAAGAUCGCUAUCUUUAGUCCCGGGUGAAAUAACCGGGACUAAAGAUGAUCUUUAGUCCCGGUUGGAGGGUAGCGGCAGUCCCAUUAGGUCUCCUUUUUUUUUCAUUAUUUUUUAGCCAGAGUUUAAUCCCUAUAUUUUCUCCCAAAUCAAGUGGGAUGCAUAUUCCCAAAUCAAACCCCAAAUCAAAGUAACAUCCCAAAACAUUCACAUAAAAAAUCUUAAGUUACUUGUACACACAAAUCAAAUACAUCACAAAUCUUAAAAAAAUACACACAAACCAAAUACAUCACAUAUUAUACAUCUCAGAUCCAUACAACAAAUCACAAAAUUAUACAUCUCAGUGAAUCACAAAUUGUAAAAAAAAAAGAAAAAAAAGAAUGGAUGCGGUAGCGCCGCCUGCCGCCGCUCGCUACUCGGCCUGCGUGCGGCCCCGUCGGCCGCCCCGCCGGGCGCGGCCCCGCCUGAUGGGUGCGGGAAGGGAGGAGGGGGAGGAGGCGGCCCUCGCUAGGCAUCGGAUGGGAAUGGAGGAGGGGGAGGAGUGGGCCGGGAUGGGAGGAGGAAGGGGAGGAGGGGGAGGAGGAGAGGGAGAUGGAUCUGAGGAGAGGAGAGGCCGGUUGUUGAGGAGAUUGAGGCCGGUUGUGGGGGAGAGGAUAGGGAAUAGGGAUUAUAUACUACGCGUGAUUUUAGUAUCUUUACUCCCGGUUGGUAAUUAAAGUGGUGAUCUUUAGUCCCGGUUUGUGACACCAACCGGGACUAAAGAUCCCCGCCCCUCUGACAAGGGACUAACAGGGGAUGAACCGGGACUAAAGAUCAUCUUUAGUGUUACCAACCGGGACUAAAGAUCGUAGAAUGGCUAUGGGGUUUUAAACCGGGACUAAAAAUCAUCUUUAGUCCGGAUUCUUUUUAUAACCGCGACUAUUGUGGUUUUAGGGCGACCGAGCAAAGAUCAGUUUUCCAGUAGUAGUAGUUUGGGUUCUCUAAACUUUGAUAGAUAAUUAGCUUGUUUAUUUAAGUUUUCGCUUCUGGGCUGGGCUGAGAAACUGCUUACAAGAACAAAUUUAUUUUUAAUUAGUAAAUUACUUAUGAUUAUAAAUCUAACAUUUAUAUUAUUUAUAUAAAACAUAAUUAGAUAAUCCCAAAACUACUGUUGGUCAAUCCUUUACUUAAUUGGAGAUGAGAGAGAUAGCAACAAAUAUGCCAAGUGGGUGGCAACUGCAUAGUACAUUGCACACAACAUUGCAUAUUAAUUUUGUAGAAAUGACUAAUGGAGUCAACUUUAUAUAUAAGCCAUGAUAAACAAAUGACAGUUUUAUUCUUUGUAGCAUCCGUGUACUUAAUGUCCAAAAAUCAAACUCUUGCCUUUUAUUAAUUAGUAUGGGUGAAUAGCUAAUUUAAUCCCUCAAGUUUCACUGAAGGCUUAAUUUGGUCAUUCUAAGUAUUUGUUUUGGCUUAAAAUCAUCCUUAGGUUUACUUAAUAUGUCAUAUGGCUAUUUUCUAGUCAACAAUUCUGUUAGAAAAUAUCUCUUUUGCCCUUAACUUGUAUACAACUAUACACUAGAGAAAAGAAAAUCAAAAUGAAUAAACAAUAUUGCAUAUGUACUUCACAUUAUUUCAACACGUGUACAUGAAACUUAAGCCUAAUGGCUAUUGUAUACACUUGCAAGUACAUAAUUUAUUUUUGUUUAACAUAAAUUGCUAUGCAUCAUUUAUAAAAGGAAUUCAUUGCAUGUAAUUUUUUCUCUCAUAUAUGUGAAUGAGGGGGUAUAAGUGUCGUUUAUUAAGAGAGUUGUUGGUUGUGUGGGUUUAAGGAUAAGUUUGAAUUAAAAUAAAAACUUGAAAGACUAAUAUGGACAGAUUGAAACAUUAAAUACUAAACUAAUCCUUGCGUGAAACUUGGAGGACCACUUUAGCACAUUAAGAACUAAACUAAUCCUUGGAUAAAACUUGGAAGACCACUUUGGCAAGACGGCAUGACAAAUAUUUGACAUGACAGCGAUGCUCCAACACUGUAAUUCAUUGUCACGGAUAAAUAAACUGCUCAGAUCCUUUCCUUUGGUCCCACUGAUAUUAUGAUUUUGCUAGCUGCUGCUGUAUCUGUAGGAGAGCAUACCUUUCCAAUUUGACGACCAGAGAAAGACAAUGAAAAGGUUCAUGUGCUGCAUAUCUAAUGGGCCUGUUUCAAGCCCAAUUGGCCUAAUUUCAGGCCUGUCCCUGAAUAGCACUAUACAAAAACAUACACCAAAAUCGCCAGCUAUUAUGCAGCAGUUUACAGCUCACAGAAAAAAAAAAGUGUUCGCAUCACAUUGAUAUACCUAAGAAAAGUUCAUGCAUUCAGUAUGAACAGUUGUCAAAGCAGUAGUGAAGAUGGAAAAAAAAGGGGACCAUGCUUCAUGGGUUAUGUUUUCUGUGAUCCAAUCAUUGCAAGGACAAACAAUGUAGGUAUCGAUGACAAAAUUUGACUGCUAUAGAUGAGAAGAGGACACAAAAUCGCUCAGCAGUUCACUUUGACAUUUUGUGACUUGCUGGCUAACUGAUUCUCCACCGUUUGAUAUAUUCCCACGAAAACUCAAAAUUGCCAUUUUGAUAAAACUGGCGUUUUUUUGGUCUAAAGAAGCCCAAGGGCAAGUAAAGGAAACUCAUGGAUGAGGAGCAAACAAAAUUCCCAUGAAAUGGUUCAUAUGGCCAUGACUUUUGCACAUAAGGCAUGGGCUUACGCUUCCAUCUUGUCGAAAGAAUCCAGCAGAUGCUCGAUGUCCGGGGUUACAAUCGCGCGCUUGCUGAUCUCUCCCAAGGUGCAGCAGUGCUUUUCUCUGGCGUUAAUUGCCGCAACCUCCUGGACAAACAUGCAAUUUGAACCCGGAGAGACCUGCACGGUUGUUUCAGUUUUGAUAUAGCAUGGGGCCAUGGAAAACAUAAAGAUAGAAUGCUGGGGCAUAGAGUUUUCAUACUCACAUCAAAGAGUGAAUCUCCGAUCUUCAUCUUCACUUUACCGCUCCUAUAUACAAGUAUCUUCCCCAUGAAACCUUCUGGAAGGUCUUUGAGCUUAGAGCCAAGGACUUUUGGUGGCCUUGUUCCUGCAUGCAUCUCCUUAGAGCUUGUGCUUGUAGGUUCAGCAUCCACCCCAUCGCCUUUAUCUGUCUCUGCGACUGAGUCUGGCUGCUUUGGUAAUGGAAGAGAUGCAGGCAUCUGGAAGAAAAGCAACUGUGCUUUGUCUGACCGAUGCUGUCAAAUGUCAAUACAUCAAUCAGCAAAACGGACUUGCCUUCGCCACUUUAACAGGUCUAAAAGUUAAAAGGCUAGGAUGCAUAUGCUACACAGAGUACAAUUCUAUUUGCUUUUAAGCUACACUCCAGUUACCAGAAAUGAAACAUUGAACUUAAACACCAGGACACACCAUUAGUCCAAGUUCUUCUGCUGUGGUUAAUUCACCAUCUUGGGCUCCGGUGGCAGAAGACUCUCCAAACUCCUCUUCAUUAAGAAUUUCUGGAUUAUGAACAGAAGAGACAUAAGGUUUGGUUGAAGAAAAUGAUUCUACCUAGUCUGGAAGGACCAACAAGAUACCAGGAUCUCCAGAAUACGGUCUCCUCAGUGGGAGAGUAACAGGAUAGUCACUGUGGGUAUAGUCCUGUGAGGAAUCAAGUAAAUAAGGAGUGGAAAGAAGGAAUCCCACAUAAGUGAACUUGAUAUCUUUAUUUACUCACCCAUGGUUCAACAUAUUCUUUUGGUAAUUUUGAAGCUGAUCCAUCUGAAUAUGCAUGUAAACAAAGCUUGUCAAUAUCCAAACAAAGUAAUCCAUACAGCUGAAUAAGUAAUAAAGAUUAUGUGUCCUUACAAAAGACAAGCAACGCUUGCAAUACUAUCCAGUUUGAUGAUAUAUACAGUAAAGUCAAUAUACACUUGACUACCAAGUGGAUGGUUCAGCUAAAGAUAAAACAUUGGACACACAUAAUAUCUUAAUACCUGCUGAACUUUGCAUGGGAAAUGAUCUUGCAUACGACGAGUUCCCCUGUCCAAAUGCAACUUGAGUACGCAUUUCUACGAUGACAACAAAGCACGACAUCAGUAGCAAGUAAGCAUGUAAAUCAAGAGAGAAGGCCAACAUCAUCAGAAAUACUCUGUACAUUAAUGGGACCUUUUACUACACAAAAUAAUGAUUAGGCAUGGAAUGAAUCAGUGAAAUGCUAUUUUGAUGCAUCCUUUGCGCAUAACAUUUCUCAGGGCAUUCCAAUGCAUUAAGCAUUCAAUUAUACUGCUUAGAAUAGGAUGAAAAUCAAAUCAUACUCUUCUAACAGACCAGUGUUUUGCUUGCAACAAAUUUUCAUCCUCUGAUACAACCGAACCACACACUUGUACUUGACCAACUAAGAAACCACUUGCAAUUGUGCAGCAGAUAUAGUUCAAGGGUCGGUGUACAAGUUCUUUUCUUUUCUUUUUGAAAAAAAAAAGGAUAUGCAUUGCCUAGUAGAUUAAGAUUGGUCAUACAAGUAAAAACACUCAUGUGGCCAGCUGAAUCAGGAAAAAUCCAUUGAGCAAUGAAAAAUCAGUCAUGCAUGCUCAAUUCACAGCCUUCACUAUUCUUAACUACAUAGAUUGCAGUUGCAGGUUGAAAAUUUAAAACCUCUGAGGACAUGCAUAUUUGGCAAGACAAGUUAACUGAUAAACCGAUAACAACAGGGGGAAAUAGACACUGGUCAUGCUCGAAUAAUACAAGAUUACACAUUUACCAGAUGAUCAUGAAUAAAUUGGAAAGGACGGAAAGGAACAGCAAUUAACUAGUCUUACCCUUUUUCUCAGUCUUAAAUUUUCUCACAAAGGGAUCUGUGCUCUGCAAAUCGGCAAAGUAAUUCAAGAUUUCACAAACACCAAACAAGACUUAAUUAACAAGAAACUUUUUAUGUACAGUAUUAAAUGACAAAAAAGAUGAGAAAUAAACACCUGCGAUGUCUUAAGCUUCAUCAACAGCUCUUUAUCUACGGUUUCAUCCUUGCUUUCCUCAGCCGGCUCCCUGUUGAAUUACACAAACUCUCUCUCUCAUUCGACAGCACAUAACCUAUUGUAAUAGAUAAUCUCCCAUGAAACAUAUCAGAGCAUUAUGGAAGAAAAUAUGGAGCGAAUCACAUACGUUUUCGGGACGAUCUUUGGAGCUUUCUUAGGACGAACCUUGGGUGCAAAUUUAAGCCCUCCCUUGCGUAGCACAAAAGGAAAAAAAAUAUAUUAAAGAUUACGGUAAGAACCAAUUAGGCCACACCAAUCAGGAAAUAUAAGGGAGGAUUUUUAACAACCUUGCGAGGAGGGAGGCCAUCCGUUUCCUUCUUCACUUUGCCCUUGCUAUCCAUCAUACAAGAAAAGAAGCACAAAUCCUGCGGAAAAAAAAACUCGCUUAGCUUUACAUUACAUUACACGAUAUGAUGAUCUCUAUUGAUUAUUGAAUGAACUUCCCCUGCAGAUCGCACAGUUCAUCGCAGAAACGAGAUAAUUGGAGGCCCAAUCGGAGGGUCUAAUCGGAGAGGGCCAUGAAACCAAUGCAGGUCCCAAUGGAUCCCCAAAUUCGUGCCCAAUGGAUCCCCAAAUCCGUGCCACGCCCAAUAGACGAUAGCGGGCCUAGGAUUUUAAGGUUGGGUAUUCGAAAUAGGAAGAGGUAAAACAAAAUUCAACCCAAAGCCUAACAUUUGAUAUCUAUAAUUUCAUAUAGUUCUAACUAAUAGUUAUAUAAUGUAUAACUGAUAUAAGCAGAAUUGGCCAUAAAUUUAAUGUGUUUAACAUAUGGAAGUACUAAACUACUGAUUGACAAUCGUUCAACAUAUCAAAUAUGAUAAAAAAAAAAUCUUACAACAUGGUAUUUAAGUGCCUUUUUUUUUUCUAAAAAUAGCGGGAUCAUUUUUCCUCUUCAUGUUUCAGAUUAAAAAUAAUAAUCAACGAUAUGGUAUUUCAGUGCUACUUAUUGAGUUAUUAUUGUGAUACUUUGUGAAAAAUAUAUGCACUACAAUCUAGAGAUUAAGUAUAUAUCCACGAAUCCAUCAACAUCACACCAUUGCAUUACACCAUGGUUAAUGCACAAAAUUAGGCAGCCAUUCACUACAAUAAACAAAGUACAUCUCUCUCGAGUUAAAAUUUGGUGUAUACUUGUCCAGUCUACAAAAAUUAGACAACAAAGUGGGUUCAAAUUUUCUCUUAUAUUGGACCACUUAAGCAGUUCAACAGGCAACGAUCUAACAAAUGUGCGAUUCAAUCUUCACAUUCAACAAAUUGGAAAGCGAGGAUUGAAUGGCUUACCUCUGGCAAUCGACUGAAUCGAAUCAGAACUAUUCGGCGAGGUAGCUUGCCAAGGGCGGUGGGGGCGCGCCGCGCGCGGUGAGCGGGCGCUGCAGUGCGACCAACAGGGGCACCGGGCCAACCAGCCAAGGGCAGGGGGUCACGGAGCGCGCCGGGGGAGAGGAGACCAGCAAGGAAGAACCGGCGGCGGUGGCGGCGGUGGGAGAGAAGCGCGCGGCGGCGAUGGAGGCCGGGGAGAAGGAAGACAACGACGAGAAAAAGUAGAGCCUGAUCGCCACAAACAAACACUAGUACUGGCAUAAACCCUAGCUAGAGAGAAACCUCACUGGCUGCUAGGCCCGGCCCGGCCCACUCGUUUGCCUCUUGCAAUCAAGGCGAUUAGAAUGGACACGGAUGGGUGAUCGUAUUUACGGCUAAUUAUUUCUUUCGGUUAUAGACGACGCGUCCGUCGACGGUAAGGCGCACAUGAUAACUUCGCCGAUCUCAAAAUAUGUCGACUCGGUUUUUCGGAGAUGCUCAUAAGGUAACGUGCAUGUGUGCCUUUGAUAGGCGACGCGCCCAUCGACGAUAAGGCGCAUAUGAUAACUUCGUUGAUCUCAAAAUAUGUCGACUUGGUUUCUUGGAGAUGCUCAUAAGGGUAACGUGCAUGUGAGCGCUUUUAUUUUGACCGUGUUUCCUUUUUAAAAAUAAAAGAAUUGAAUUGCAUAUAUGCAUAACACAUAUAUUUGUACUAUCUUCUUAAGUUCUUUGUGUCGUGUUGUUGGUAUCAUUGGAUUUUGUUAUGGAAGCCCCGGAUUAACCACUACACUAAAAUGCUACGGAGAAAUUCGCCACAAAAAUCAAAUUGCAAUAUUACAUGGGACUAUCUAUGUAACAUUCGAUAGAAAAUUUCCUAGAAAAUCUUUCAAAUGUAUCUACUCCCUCUGUUUUUUAUAGCUGUAGUCAUUGACUUUUUUAAUAUAUGCUUGACUAUUUAUCUUAUUCAAAGUGACUUUUAUGACUUUCCUUAAUUAUUGGGGUUUUCUUUGUGUGUUAUUUACCAUUAUGCACUGGUAGAGUGUCACGCCCCGAUUUCGUUCGGAAUGAAAAAUCAUUUAAUAAUGCAUUUCUAGAAUUUAUGUUAAAAGUUAAAGCAAUUAAUCAAGUGGAUUAAUAAGUGAAUUAAAAAUUUCAUUUAAAGAUCUUGGUCGGAAAAUAUUUUUGUAAUAUUCUUUGUGCCCUAAAGUCCUCUCUACAAUUUCCCGUGAAUUUUCGGAGCUCAAGAAAGUAAUUUUAAUAGCACAAAGUUCAUUUAAUUAAUUAAAUAAAAAGAAAAUCAAUUAAAAUUCUCAUUCCUUGUCCUUGGGCCGCUUUGGGCCCAAGUCUCUUUCCCCCCUCACGGCCCGCGCACCUCCUUCCCCUCCUCUCUCCAUCUAGGGCGGCCUCCUUGCCUCUCUCCCUCGGCCCGCCCCUUGCAAAAGUCUAUCUGGCAUCCCUCUCCCGGCCCCCUCUCUCUCCCUCAUGUCCUUCCCCUACCUCUAGCCCGCUGGCAACCACCUCCCCCCUUCCCACGUCCCGCCGAAUCCGGCGCCCUCCCGCACACGUGCCCGCACCCAAAGAUCGUGGCCCGGUCCCCUCCUCGUCCUCCACCACUUCCCCCACUCCUCCCCGCAAAAAUCGGCGCCGAGCCGCCGCCACUCCGCCCACGUUGUUUCCCCACUCCACCACCGGUUGCCGCCCCUCUCGACCACGAUUCUGGUCUCCCGAGCCUAUAAAAACGCUUCCCGCACCUCCCUCUCUCAUUUUUCCAAGUUGCCCGAGCUCCCGCGUCCUCUCCCGUGCUCCCCACGCCGCUCCCGACCUCCACCGCUCACCGGUGAGCUCCGGCUGCCGUGCCGCGCCAUCACCACCACCAUCGGCUCCGCCGCUCCGCACCGCACACCGGCCGCCGCUCUACCCUUCCGAUCCACCCCUAAGCCACCACAUCCACCACGAAGCCGAGCCACGCGCCUCUUCCACCGCCUCCAGCCGCUCCCCGCCACCGAGAGAGGUCUCGCCUGGCCAUGCUACCGCCACCCACAGCAUCGCCGCGCCCUGCCGCACCUCGGUAAAAAGAAAAGGACUAUGUGAUGCUAGCAUGACUCCGAGGCAUUUAAAUAGCGCCCAUCAGGUACAGUUGAACAGCUCAUUCUCCCGACCGAAGAAACUAACUAAAAGUUUCAGGCCCCCAUAUUCCACAAAGACGGGUAGUGCGCCAACGAUCAGACCCCCCAUACCCAAAACACGUUUCAUCAAAACAGCUAAACAGCGUUCCGAUGCGCCUCUCACUACGGACCUUUUACAUCCCCUCUACACCGCUAAACUAGUUAGCCCCAAGGCGACCACACUGACAGA
rnacentral:lncRNA from 1 species